GCAGUAGCCGCGGUAAUACGGAGGGUGCAAGCGUUAAUCGGAAUUACUGGGCGUAAAGCGCACGCAGGCGGUCUGACAAGUCAGAUGUGAAAUCCCCGGGCUUAACCUGGGAACUGCAUUUGAAACUGUCAGGCUGGAGUCUUGUAGAGGGGGGUGGAAUUCCAGGUGUAGCGGUGAAAUGCGUAGAGAUCUGGAGGAAUACCGGUGGCGAAGGCGGCCCCCUGGACAAAGACUGACGCUCAGGUGCGAAAGCGUGGGGAGCAAACAGGAUUAGAUACCCGUGUAGUCCCUGUCUCUUAUAC
rnacentral:rRNA from 1 species